GAUGAAGAACGCAGCGAAAUGCGAUAAGUAGUGUGAAUUGCAGAAUUCAGUGAAUCAUCGAAUCUUUGAACGCACAUUGCGCCCCUUGGUAUUCCAUGGGGCAUGCCUGUUCGAGCGUCAUUUGUACCUUCAAGCUUUGCUUGGUGUUGGGUGUUUGUCCCGAGGGACUCGCCUUAAAGUAAUUGGCAGCCAGUGUUUGGUUUUGAAGCGCAGCACAAGUCGCGAUUCAAGGCUACACGCCCGCUUCCACAAGCCUUUUUUCACUUUUGACCUCGGAUCAGGUAGGGAUACCCGCUGAACUUAAGCAUAUCAUAAGCGGAGGA
rnacentral:misc_RNA from 1 species